AAUUUCUACGCUCUCCUCUGGCGGAAAUGCCGUUGUUGCUGCCUUCGAAGGAGCGCUCUUCUUUGAUUAGGUUUUUUGGCUUCGAUUUGAGGGUUCGUUGCGCCGCCGCUCAUCUCCUCGUCACCACAAGCAACGCCAUCAUUGCUGUCCUCGGUAUAAUCUGAGAUCGCACAUCGGAAGGAGAGGGAAAGGAGAACGAGAGUGAGUUCAUCUCAAACCAUAGAGCUUGUCGCCGCCAUCAUCACCACCAUUCAUCUCAUUUCAGCCGCUUCCAUCAACCUUCUGCGUUCGAGUAAAGGCGCCUCUAUCGACGCGUUUCUAAAUCUGGUCACUACACCAUAGCUUUUGAGAUUGAGUGAAGCACCUAUUCCAUUAAUGUGUCUCCUCCGCCAGCGGCUCCGGUACGUUCUCACUUCUGCAUUCUCUUCUUCUUCAAUCCACUCAACAUUGCUCGUAGUGUGUUUCUGUUCAUUCUAAAUCUCUAUUUGUAUUCUCUUUUUCUUCUUGUUCAUUCUCAGUUACUUAUUUUCUAACUAUAUUUCAGUUCAGUAUUGUUAUGCUUUCUAUGUAGUUGAUGAAUUUCCUGAGAGAGAUGGAAAAGAUUGGAACUUGUUUUCUGUUAUAGAUGAUGAUUCUUUGGUGCUUAUUAUUAUAACUACUGCAUGUUCAUCAUUGUGAAAUUUUGAAAUUCAAAACUAGCUUAGUUCCCAAUGUGAAUCCAGCAAGGACAUGCUUUCUUUGUUUUCUUUAUAUAGAGUAAUCGUGAAAAAAAAUUGUUCAUUGUGCGGAGAACAUAUAUUGAACUUAUAAGAGGUUCCUCUGCUAAUUGAUAAGCUAAUUGAUUCAAGUGUUUGUGCCUUCAAAAAUUGACUUAUAAAAAAGGCUAUUUUGGUAUUUGUUAGUUCAAGCUAAGGACCAGCCUGUGUAAUAUUUUCAUGUUCUUAAAUAAAAAGAGGUACUUGAUAAGAUUAAUUAAAAUAAAAAAAUUAAAACAUUCAUUCCCUACAACAUUUAGAAAAUAUUAAUCAAAUAUCACAAAAGAAAAUUGGAAAAAGUUAAUCCAUGUACCACUGUGUGUGUUAAUUGACCAAUGUGCUAAAAUGGUCAUUCAUUCUUUAUUAGGAAAAAAAAGACAGGACUAACGACGUAUAUAUAUUUGUACUUUGUACAUAACAGCACCUUAGAUUUGAUUUUUUUUUCAUAGAGCUAACUGUUUCUUUCUUUUAAAAUAAAAGAAGAUAUCUUAAAUGUAAAAUACAAUUCAUUAAUUAGUAAUUACUUUAGAAUAUAUAGUCAUCAAUGAUGAUCAGUUUAUCAAAAUCUAUCUAAUGAAUAAUAUUAGAGAUAUAGCUAUUAUACGAGUUUUUAUACAGGUAACCAUUACUCCUUUUGACAUUUCUGCCUCCCUUCUAGCAACCAUUAUUCUUAUAUUUUUACGAUUUGAAGCUUUCUUUACAGAAGCAAGAAGGCAAUGCAAUCUAUAUUCCUUAUCAUUAGCUUUUGAAGUCAACGGCUACAGCCGAACUUCCAUAGCAGUAAAUGCUUUCCGAGUUCUUCUUUUAUUCUAUUUUUUCCUAGUAGACUGAACAAAAACUUUAUCUAUCUUCUCAUCUAUUUUCUUGUUUUCCUUCUGGUGCUCUCCAAGUUCAAGAGACGUCGACAGACAGAAAUUGAACAAUUCAGAGCUCCAAGCUUUCCAAGUUGCAAUACAAUGCCACUUUUCAAUUUAAUCGCUUCAGAAUCAGCUAAAGUUUGUUCCAAAGUGCCUAGAUUUUCCAUUAACAAAUGAUAAUGUAUCACUCUAAAAGACUGAAAUUUGAGGGAGGCUGUUGAUAUCUCCUUUUCAAAAUGCCUUUGUCUUUGUGUAUUAUUAAGCAUUUCUUGCACACUACUAAUAGACCUCUUACCCUUCUUCACCUAGGAAAUAUAAACCUUGUGAGAUUUUACAAUAACACACACACUAUGCAUAGAAACCAAAAUAUAAUUAUUAAAGGGAAAAAAGGCAGCUUAGUGCACAAACAUCAUGCGUCGCAGGGUCCGGGAAAGGGCCGCACCCAAAGGGGUAAUGUACGCAGCUCAAGCUGACAGUUACAUCUGUGACUGUUUUCAUGGCUUAAACUCACAUGGAGACAACUCAAUCAUUGCUCUAAGUCUUUCCUUCAUACUAGAAUAUAAUUAUAUGGCUUGAUUAAAAGGCCUAUGGUGUACCUUGAUUUCUUCUAUGUAUAAAGAAUCAUUGUCCAAGGUUUCCAAUUCUGAUGACAAACAACUGAAUGCUGUUGAAAAGCUUCUCUGGGAUGCUUCUCCUUCUUCAUUUACGGUCAAAAGCGAAGAUAGCCUUGCUGAGUUGAAAGUUGCUUCCCUGCCUCCAGCUGGAUCAAAUUGUAACCAAAAUUCAGAGCACAGCAAUUGAGAGAAAGGCUUCAAUAUUUUUGUU